UUUAAUUGGCACACACUUAAUUAGGUGGGUUUAAUUGGCACACACUUAAUUAGGUGGGUUUAAUUGGCACACACUUAAUUAGGUGGGUUUAAUUGGCACACACUUAAUUAGGUGGGUUUAAUUGGCACACACUUAAUUAGGUGGGUUUAAUUGGCACACACUUAAUUAGGUGGGUUUAAUUGGCACACACUUAAUUAGGUGGGUUUAAUUGGCACACACUUAAUUAGGUGGGUUUAAUUGGCACACACUUAAUUAGGUGGGUUUAAUUGGCACACACUUAAUUAGGUGGGUUUAAUUGGCACACACUUAAUUAGGUGGGUUUAAUUGGCACACACUUAAUUAGGUGGGUUUAAUUGGCACACACUUAAUUAGGUGGGUUUAAUUGGCACACACUUAAUUAGGUGGGUUUAAUUGGCACACACUUAAUUAGGUGGGUUUAAUUGGCACACACUUAAUUAGGUGGGUUUAAUUGGCACACACUUAAUUAGGUGGGUUUAAUUGGCACACACUUAAUUAGGUGGGUUUAAUUGGCACACACUUAAUUAGGUGGGUUUAAUUGGCACACACUUAAUUAGGUGGGUUUAAUUGGCACACACUUAAUUAGGUGGGUUUAAUUGGCACACACUUAAUUAGGUGGGUUUAAUUGGCACACACUUAAUUAGGUGGGUUUAAUUGGCACACACUUAAUUAGGUGGGUUUAAUUGGCACACACUUAAUUAGGAGGGUUUAAUUGGCACACACUGUUUAAUUAGGUGGGUUUAAUUGGCACACACUGUUUAAUUAGGUGGGUUUAAUACAGAUACCUUCGGUUGGUUUACAUGUGUUCAGUCCCUGUAACAGCUUCUACCAUCUCGGUCAGGUAACUGCCCAGUGCACCACGCCCAUACAGACUUGUAAUGUAUUGUCUCCGUUUCCUA